rnacentral:lncRNA from 1 species
CGCUUGCGGAUCGUUUCCUUAUUGCGUUACCAAAUAUCAACAAGCAUUUCUGGCGCCGUUGCCGGGGAGAAAGACGGUUUGCUGAGAUAACUUUGAGUCUUGCUAUUAUCUUGUAUUAUACUUUUAUACUUUUAUUCUUUUAUCUUUUUAUUUUUAUCUUUAUGGAUAACUCAAAUUCCAUACCUGUUAUUAAAUUCUUUGCACCUUCGGAGACCAGCCAUAGACCAUGGGAGUCAACACGUCCUGCCACUA